UACGGAGGGUGCAAGCGUUGUUCGGAAUUACUGGGCGUAAAGGGCGCGUAGGCGGCCGAUCAAGUCUGGUGUGAAAGCCCGGGGCUCAACCCCGGAAGUGCACUGGAAACUGGUUGGCUUGAGUUCGGGAGAGGAAGGCAGAAUUCCCGGUGUAGGAGUGAAAUCCGUAGAGAUCGGGAGGAAAAUCAGUGGCGAAGGCGGCCUUCUGGAACGAAACUGACGCUGAGGCGCGAAAGCGUGGGGAGCAAACAGG
rnacentral:rRNA from 1 species